rnacentral:rRNA from 1 species
UACAGAGGGUGCGAGCGUUGUUCGGAAUUAUUGGGCGUAAAGGGCGCGUAGGCGGCGCCACAAGUCACCUGUGAAAACUCUGGGCUCAACCCAGAGCCUGCAGGCGAAACUGUGGUGCUGGAGUAUGGGAGAGGUGCGUGGAAUUCUCGGUGUAGCAGUGAAAUGCGUAGAUAUCGAGAGGAACACCAGUGGCGAAGGCGGCUCACUGGCUCGUAACUGACGCUCAGGCGCGACAGCGUGGGGAUCAAACAGG